GUGCUCGCUUCGGCAGCACAUACAUUAAAAUUGGAAUGAUAAGGAGAUUAGCAUAGCCCCUGCCAAGGAUGACACACAAAUCCGUGAAGUGUUCCAUAUUUUG
rnacentral:snRNA from 1 species